rnacentral:rRNA from 1 species
AUGGAAUAUCUUAGGAUAAUUAAUAAAAACUCCUCGCCAAAGAUGAAGACCAGGGGGCCCACACCCUGUCCACAAGGGUGCGGGGCGUGCCCGCCGCCUGGGCGCCCCCCCUACCUCGUGGGCCCCCUGGUGGCCCUCCGACGCCAACUCCAACUCCAUAUAUUGGCUUUCGGGGAGAAAAUAAUCAGGGAGAAAAAAUCAUCACGCUUUACGAUACGGAGCCGCCGCCAAGCCCUAUUCUCUCUCGGGAGGGCUGAUUUGGAGUCCGUUCAGGGCUCCGGAGAGGGGGAUUCGUCGCCGUCGUCAUCAUCAACCAUCCUCCAUCACCAAUUUCAUGAUGCUCACCAUCGUGCGUGA